rnacentral:rRNA from 1 species
AUUGAACGCUGGCGGCAGGCCUAACACAUGCAAGUCGAGCGGAUGACGGGAGCUUGCUCCUCGAUUCAGCGGCGGACGGGUGAGUAAUGCCUAGGAAUCUGCCUGGUAGUGGGGGACAACGUUUCGAAAGGAACGCUAAUACCGCAUACGUCCUACGAGAGAAAGCAGGGGACCUUCGGGCCUUGCGCUAUCAGAUGAGCCUAGGUCGGAUUAGCUAGUAGGUGAGGUAAUGGCUCACCUAGGCGACGAUCCGUAACUGGUCUGAGAGGAUGAUCAGUCACACUGGAACUGAGACACGGUCCAGACUCCUACGGGAGGCAGCAGUGGGGAAUAUUGGACAAUGGGCGAAAGCCUGAUCCAGCCAUGCCGCGUGUGUGAAGAAGGUCUUCGGAUUGUAAAGCACUUUAAGUUGGGAGGAAGGGCAGUAAGUUAAUACCUUGCUGUUUUGACGUUACCGACAGAAUAAGCACCGGCUAACUCUGUGCCAGCAGCCGCCGCGGUAA